rnacentral:lncRNA from 1 species
AUGAUGUCCCGCACGGUGAACCUGCUGCCCAAUCACGAGGCUCGGCUGCGAGGGAACGGCGUGGGAACCACGCCCGGCUCCAGGGCCGACUCAUGCUGGUUUCAUGGAAGGAUGUUAUGGAUUGAGGAGGGGCUGGAAUACUGCUUUCCCAAGGUGGGGGGAAUACAGUUCACCACUAAUGGUUCACGUGUGUAUCUGUGUUAUGUAAUCAGACCAUUCAGUCUUCAUUCUUUCUUCUUGACUUCAUUUGACAGUUUCUGAGCAUCCUUGUGCUAAGGAUGGUUGGGAGUGGGCAUACAGAGAUGCACACUUUUAAGGGUAGGAGAUACGUGCAGAGUGGGCUGUGACUAAAAGGCCACUUAUCCUAUAAGGAUGGAGCAGCCGUGGUCCAUUUUUGAAGCCCCAUCUCUCUCAAGCAGUUACCAAGGAAGGAGGCAGGGGACUUGGAGGCCUGUUGCACCAAUGAACCAGACUGUCAGGGGCGGGGUAGGGGUGGGGGUGGGCGGUGCAGGCAUAUGGAUAGAGGAAGAGCUUGCCCUGGGGGUGUUGAAGAAGCCAACAAGUGAGGAGUGGGGUUCAAGUGAAAUUUGAUGGCGUGAGAGGGACUCACAGACCAAAGUAUGGAACAGAAGGGAUCGUUUCAGUGGUUAUCUAUGUUCAUAAUCAUAGUUAAAUUAGUUUGUGUGUAUAUAUAUAUAUAAUGUUUAGAGCAAUGCCUGGCAUAUAGGAAGGACAAAUCUAAGUGUUAGCUAUUGUAUUACUAUCAUUGAAUAGUGAAUGCUACGUGUUGGGAGGAUGUCCUGGGCUGUCAAAUUGAUGGGUUUGUGGUCCCAGCCCACUGGCACCUAACCUUUGUUGGUGUCAGACUCUCUGAUAAUCUACUAUUAGAUCUUGUCCUUUAGAUAAGCAUUACCUUCUUCAAAAUUCUCCUAUAAAUACAGAAAGAUGAAAAGAAUAAAUGAAUAGGUAAGUAAAAAUACAAUAGAGAAAAUGAAAUAACAUAAAUACAUGAUUAAUCUAACAGAAUUCAAGAAAGAAUAAACGAACAAAAAACAGGAGACAAACAGCAAGAUGGCAGGUGUGUAGCCUACUGUAUCAGUGAUUAUAGUAAUAGUGAAGUGGAAGAAGCACUACAAUUAAAAAUAAAACAUUUUCAGAUUGGAUUUAAAAAAAAAACCAAUUUAAUUCUGUUAAAAGAGACUUAUUUUGGGACUUCCCUGGUGGUCCAGUGGUUAAGAAUCCAUCUACGAGUGUGGAGAACAUGGGUUUGAUCCCUGGUCUGGGAAGAUCCCACGUGUUGAGGAGCAGCUGAGCUCGAGUACUGCAGCUACUACUGAAGCUUACUCACCUCAAGUCUGUGCUCUGCAGCUAGAGAAGCCACAGCAAUGAAAAGCCAUGCACUGGAAUGAAGAGUAGCCCCUGCUUGCCACACUAGAGAAAGCUCACACAUAGCAACAAAGACCCAGGACAGCUGUAAAUAAUUUUAUUUUGAAAAAGACAUACUUUUAAGAACACAGAACCAUUGAGAAACUAAUGGAAUAUGUACACUAUGAGCACACUAACCAAAAGAAAGCUGGUGUGGCUUUAUUAAUUUCAAACAAAGUAGACUGGAAGAGAAAGUAUUCUAGAAAAAAAGGAGGGAUAUUUUAUAAAUAUUAAAGAGUCAAUUCAACAGGAAGAUAAAACACUCAAUUUUAUGUACUUCAUAACAUAAUUUCAAAAUAUGCAAAAUAAAAAAUUACAGAAUUAAGAAAUCAACCCAUGAUUACAAUUAGAGUUUUAGCACAACUGAUAGCAUAUUAAAAAGCAGAGACAUUACUUUGCCGACAAAGGUCCAUCUAGUCAAAGCUAUGGUUUUUCCAGUAGUCAUGUGUGGAUAUGAGAGUUGGACCAUAAAGAAAGCUGAUCAUGGAAGAAUUGAUGCUUUUGAACUCUGGUGCUAGAGAAGACUCUUGAGAGUCCCUUGGACAGCAAGGAGAUCAAACCAGUCCAUCCUAAAGGAAAUCAGUCCUGAAUAUGCAUUGGAAGAACUGAUGCUGAACCUGAAACUCCAAUACUUUAGCCGCCUAAUGCAAAGAACCAACUCACUGGAAAAGACCCCAGUGCUGGAAGAGACUGAAGGCAGCAGGAGAAGGGGACAACAGAGGAUGAGAUAUUGGAUGGCAUUACCUACUUGAUGGACAUGAGUUUGAACAAGCUCUGGGAGAUAGUGAAGGACAGGGAAACCUGGCGUGCUGCAGUCUGUGGGGUCGCAAAGAGUUGGACACGACUGAGCAACUGAACAGCAAUAAGUGUCAGCAGACCAAAAAACCCCAACAUUUAGAUUUAAAUAGUGUGAUUAAUCAGCUGACCUAUGUAGCACUCCAGAACCUACAACUUACCAAAAUCCAUUAUGUGUUUAGCCAGAAAACAAGUAUCAACAAACUUUAAAAGCCUGAAAUAAUAUAGAGUGUGAUCUCUGAUCUAGGAGACUCAUCAAGGAAUCAAAACAAAAAGAUAACUACAUUCCAAAAUAUUUGGAAAUUAAACAACAUACUUCUAAAUAAUAAGUCAAAGAAGAAAUUAUAAUGGAAAUUAGAAAAUUUUUUAAGAAAUUAUUUUGAAAAUAUGACAUAUCAAAACAUAUAAGAUUGGAGAAGGAAAUGGCAACCUGCUCCAGUAUUCUUGCCUGGGAAAUCCCAAGGACAGAGGAGCCUGGUGGGCUACAGUCUUUGGGGUUGCAAAAGAGUUAGACACGACUUAGCGACUAAAUAAUGGAUGGAGUCUUAUGAUGACUUGUGGCAGAAUGAUUGUCCCUAAUACGUCUGUUUAUGAAUAAUUGUGAAAAUGAUAAGAAAAAGGAAGAAAAUGUGACAGAAUUCUGUAUGUUAAGAUGCUUUUUAAUAUCCAAAGUUAAAGAGAUUUCUUUUCCUACAGAUUUCCUGAAAAUGUGAUUGUGGCUCAGCUGGUAAAGAAUCGCCUGCAAUUUGGGAGACCUAGGUUCAAUUCCUGGGUUGGGAAGAUCCCCUGGAGAAGGGAAAGGCUACCCCCUCCAGUAUUCUCUGGCCUGGAGAAUUCCAUGGACUGUGUAGUCCAUGGGGUCGCAGAGAGCUGAACACGACUGAGCGACUUUCACAUCGAGUGUGAGUACAGUUUGACAAAGAAACGAAAGUAUGAGCAGAUAAAAAUGCUGACUUAUAAGAUGUAGCUAAAGCAGUAUCCAGAGAGCAGUUUAUACCUCCAAAUGUAUAUUUUAGACAAAAAGAAAGGUUGAAAAGUCAGUGAUCUAAUUUCAAUAUCAAGAAGCUAGAGAGGACAUAUCUAGUGGUCUGUUGGUUAAGAAUCUGCCUGCCAGUGCAGAGGACACCAGUUCGAUUGCUGACAUGGGAAGAUCCCACGUGUCACAGGGCUAUUAAGCCCUUGUGCCACAGUGUGCAAAACCUCUAUGGAGAAACUAUAGAACAUUACUGAGAAAAAUUAAAGAAGACCUGCAUCAUUAGAAAGAUAGCCAUGUUCAUGGAUUAGAAGAUUCAGUAUUGUAAAAAUGUCUAUCCUUCCAAAAUUGACCUAUAGAUUCAAUGUAAUCUCAAUCAAAUCUCAGAAAGAUUUUUGGCUAGAAAUUAACAAGCUGAUUCUAAAAUUUAUGUGGAAACACAAAGGACCUACAGUAGCCAAAAUGAUUUUUCAAAAGAACAAAGUUAAUUCUACAUUAUUUCCAUAUUGCCUAUCAAUUAUAGUAAUCGAGAGAGUAUGAUAUAAAAAAUAUAGAUGUGUAUCAGUGGAACAGAAUAGGGAAUACAGAACUGAUCACUUUUGAAGUCAGUUGAUUUUCUGCCAGAGUAUACACCAAAACAAAUCAUAGUGCAAAUCAGUUCAGUUCAGUUGCUCAGUUGUGUCCGACUCUUUGCAACCCCAUGGACUGCAGCACACCAGGCUUCCCUGUCCAUCACCAACUUGAGUCAGCUCUUCGCAUCAGGUGGCCAAAGUAUUGGAGUUUCAGCUUCAACAUCAGUCCUUCCAAUGAACAUUCAGGACUGAUUUCCUUUAGGAUGGACUAGUUGGAUCUCCUUGUAGUCCAAGGGACUCUCAAGAGUCUUCUCCAACACAAUUCAAAAGCAUCAAUUCUUCAGUGCUUAUCUUUCUUUAUGGUCCAUACGUGACUCCCAUACGUGACUCCUGGAAAAACCAUAGCUUUAUCUAGAUGGACUUUUGUUGGCAAAGUAAUGUCUCUGCCUUUUUUUUUUUUUUUUUUUACUUUAUUUUGCUUUACAAUACUGUAUUGGUUUUGCCAUACAUUGACAUGAUACACUGUCUAGGUUGGUCAUAACUUAUCUUCCAAGGAGCAAGCAUCUUUUAA